UACGUAGGGUCCGAGCGUUGUCCGGAAUUAUUGGGCGUAAAGGGCUCGUAGGCGGUCUGUUGCGUCGGGAGUGAAAACUUACAGCUUAACUGUGAGCGUGCUUUCGAUACGGGCAGACUUGAGGCAUUCAGGGGAGAACGGAAUUCCUGGUGUAGCGGUGAAAUGCGCAGAUAUCAGGAGGAACACCGGUGGCGAAGGCGGGUCUCUGGGCCGAAACUGACGCUGAGGAGCGAAAGCGUGGGGAGCGAACAGG
rnacentral:rRNA from 1 species